rnacentral:rRNA from 1 species
CGCGUAGGCGGCCGAUCAAGUCAGGCGUGAAAGCCCCGGGCUCAACCUGGGAAUGGCGCUUGGGACUGGUUGGCUUGAGUUCGGGAGAGGAGAGUGGAAUUCCCAGUGUAGAGGUGAAAUUCGUAGAUAUUGGGAAGAACACCGGUGGCGAAGGCGGCUCUCUGGACCGAGACUGACGCUGAGGCGCGAAAGCGUGGGGAGCAAACA